rnacentral:misc_RNA from 1 species
UUGACGUGUAUGAUCACGUGACAUGUCUCUCUCUUCAUAAGCGAGGAAGGAGCACGCUGUGUGGAAGCACAAGUUAGACUUUUAUCACUCUGUUCAUCAUGCCGGGUUAUGGAGGAGGCGGUGGAGGACGUCGCAGAAGUGGUGGUGAUGAGGGUGAUCAUACAGAUCCCAAUUCAGAGCAGUUUAGAAAGCUGUUCAUCGGAGGACUCAGCUACGAGACAGACGAAAAGAGUCUCCGAGAACAUUUUGAAAGUUGGGGGGAGAUUGUUGACUGUGUUGUGAUGCGAGACCCAAACACAAAACGAUCUCGGGGGUUUGGAUUCAUUACAUACAAGCAUGCAGAAGGCAUAGAUCAAGCACAAGGGAAUAGACCUCACACAAUUGACGGCCGACAGGUGGAGACUAAGCGCGCCAUGCCACGAGAGGAAACUGGUUCCCAGCAAUCCGUAAAGAAAAUGUUUGUUGGUGGCAUCAAGGAAGACACGACAGAGGAUCAAGUACGGGAAACGUUCGGCAGCUUUGGACCGAUAGAAGAAGUGGACAUGAUAGUUGAUAAGGCAACAGGCAAAACGAGAGGCUUUUGCUUUGUGACUUUCGAUGAUUACGAUGCUGUUGAUAAAUGUGUUUUGAAGAAACGCCACAAACUGAAUGGGCGGAGCGUUGAAGUGAAAAAGGCAAUAUCUAAAACAGAAAUGAAUGCUGGUGGUGGAGGUGGGGGAUCACGAAGAGGAAGCAGAGGCGGUGGGCCAGUGAGAGGUCCAGGAGGGCGUGGAGACUUUGGUGGUUUUGGAGGAGGUGGCAGCAGCAGUGAUUAUGGAGGAGGUUAUAGUCAAGGAGGUUACGGAGGAGGUGGUUACGGAGGAUCCGACUAUGGUGGCGGUUAUGGAGGUGGUGGCAGUGGCUACAGUGACUAUGGUGGUGGCUAUGGAGGUGGUGGAAACUGGGGAGGCAGUGGUGGUGGUGGAGGAGGAGGAGGAAGUGGCUUUGGGUCUAACUAUGGCAGUAGCUACAGUGGGGGGCCCGUGAGAGGAGGCAACUAUAUGUCACGUGGUCCAGGACCUUACGGUGGUGGCUAUGGCAGUGGUGGUGGUGGAGGAGGAGGAGGUGGUUUUGGGGGUGGAGCAGGAGGGUAUGGUCGUCGCUGAAUAUCUUGCUGCCAUCAGCAUCUGUAACAGAUAUUACCACUUCUGCAUGUAGUCAACAAAGAGUUGGGAGUUGGAAUUGGCCAAGCAUUGAGGAGAGGAAACUGCAUGCAUCAAAGAAUGGGCACUUGCAAUUAGGACUGGUCACCAUCCUUCAGGUUUAAAAAAUGUAGAGCAAUAUUGGUCAAUGUUUUAAAUGUCUGCAAACUGAGCCCAAGGGCUUUUGCUCCUGAUAAGAUUA